GUGGGGAAUUUUGGACAAUGGGGGCAACCCUGAUCCAGCCAUUCCGCGUGAGUGAAGAAGGCCUUCGGGUUGUAAAGCUCUUUCGGCAGGAACGAAACGGUGAGCUCUAACAUAGCUCGCUAAUGACGGUACCUGAAGAAGAAGCACCGGCUAACUACGUGCCAGCAGCCGCGGUAAUACGUAGGGUGCGAGCGUUAAUCGGAAUUACUGGGCGUAGAGCGUGCGCAGGCGGUUGUGUAAGACAGGUGUGAAAUCCCCGGGCUUAACCUGGGAACUGCGCUUGUGACUGCACGGCUAGAGUAUGGCAGAGGGGGGUGGAAUUCCACGUGUAGCAGUGAAAUGCGUAGAGAUGUGGAGGAACACCGAUGGCGAAGGCAGCCCCCUGGGCCAAUACUGACGCUCAUGCACGAAAGCGUGGGGAGCAAACAGGAUUAGAUACCCCAGUAGUCC
rnacentral:rRNA from 1 species